rnacentral:rRNA from 1 species
GUUGUUGCAGUUAAAAAGCUCGUAGUUGGAGUUCAGGGUGAGCUCAGCUGGUCGGCCUAAUGGGUCAGAACUGGUUGACUCUCCCUUGGUUGUGGAUCCCUCCGGAGUUAAUUCUUCGGGUGUGGAGUCCACAUCGUUUACCUUGAAAAAAUUAGAGUGUUCAAAGCAGGCGUUUGCUUGAAUAUAUUAGCAUGGAAUAAUGGAAUAGGACGCUGGUUCUAUUUUGUUGGUUUUGAGAACCAGAGUAAUGAUUAAUAGGGACAGUUGGGGGCAUUCAUAUUUCAUUGUCAGAGGUGAAAUUCUUGGAUUUAUGAAAGAUGAACUUCUGCGAAAGCAUUUGCCAAGGAUGUUUUCAUUAAUCAAGAACGAAAGUUAGGGGAUCGAAGACGAUCAGAUACCGUCGUAGUCUUAACCAUAAACUAUGCCGACUAGGGAUUGGGCGUGGUUUGUUCAUUGACCCGCUCAGCACCUUACGAGAAAUCAAAGUCUUUGGGUUCCGGGGGGAGUAUGGUCGCAAGGCUGAAACUUAAAGGAAUUGACGGAGGGGCACCACCAGGAGUGGAGCCUGCGGCUUAAUUUGACUCAACACGGGAAAACUUACCAGGUCCAGACAUAGUAAGGAUUGACAGAUUGAGAGCUCUUUCUUGAUUCUAUGGGUGGUGGUGCAUGGCCGUUC